rnacentral:rRNA from 1 species
UACAGAGGGUGCGAGCGUUGUCCGGAAUCACUGGGCGUAAAGGGCGCGUAGGCGGCCUGAUAAGUAGGGGGGUGAAAUCCUGUGGCUUAACUGCAGGGCUGCCUCCUAGACUGUUAGGCUCGAGCACGGUAGAGGCAGAUGGAAUUCCCGGUGUAGCGGUGGAAUGCGUAGAGAUCGGGAAGAACAUCGGUGGCGAAAGCGCUCUGCUGGACUGCAACUGACACUCAGGGACGAAAGCUAGGGGAGCGAAUGGG